UAUCUCAAAAAACGGCUUGUGACUUAAGGAAGACGGUGCAAAUCCGUCGCGGACCCGCCACUGUGAGGAAAGCUUACCUUUCCAAGUCAGAUACUUAUGUCACCGGCUAUAACUGGCUGCACCUCGCGGAUACGGGUUCUCAGACAGG
rnacentral:sRNA from 22 species